rnacentral:lncRNA from 1 species
CAUUUUAAUUUGAUAUAAUCUGAAGCGUAUAAUUAUUGGCUUUUACGACAACGAAAGUAGGGAUCCAAAGGUUGCUUUAACAGUAGAAUCGGGUUGCAUUUGAUUAUCUAAUGGAUUUGUGGAGAUGUUCUUCAUAACCUAGAGCCUUGAUUGUUUUCUGCCUGCUGCUUCCAAUUUUGUGGUCUAUAACUGAAGUCUAGAGCCCGGGAUAUUUCUUCUUUUAUGUCCAAUUGUUAGUCAAACCAUAUCCUUCCAUGGUGGUUGGAGAUUGGAAAACAAAUCUAUGACCUGCAACCCACUCUAGCAUGUAUUUAUCUGUUAUCUUAACACCAAAAUAUCCGCAUUGCAGUUAGCUGGAACAUCGCCCGAGUUGAUAAACCGGCUGAUACCUGAGCAUGUUCGACAGCAAGCUGGUGUGAACUUUCUCCAUCCAGCAGGGACGUGAUUACAUUGGUGCAACCUAAUUUGUUGGUGGACAUGUAGCAGCAGGAAGGCCCUCUCACUAAUAUUAUGCACAUUUUGGCCAGGAGCAGUGGUUUCUGACCACUCGAAAUGUUUCGUGGUGACUGCUGGGCUUAACGUGAAAGUCGGUGGAAUCUUUCGACAUUGUUGUGUUAGCUAAACAAAUUUAGAUGCUUUUGUACAUUGUUGUAGUCAAAUGUAAGAGUCCAACUGAUCAUAUUAUUCGUGUCUGGUCAGGAAGAUUUCUGAACGGAACCGCUGCAGGAGGGCUCAGCAUAGUUUUGUGACGUCACUUAAAUGACCAUCAUGUUUGUGCUAACAUGUUACCUUCUGAAAGCUAAUACAAAAUUUACUAAUAUUUUUUGGUUCUUUCUAUUAACUGUAGAAAUCUUACAUAGGUUGCAUAUGGAAAUUUCUGUUGCAAUUUAACUUUCUCAAAAUCAAAUUUCUAAAUGUUUCCAAGUUGCUAUUGAACUUUAAAAGUUAUUAGAGUUGAUGUUGAACCGUCACCCAUUGUUUUAAAAGUAAAUAGACUUGAUGAACUUAUUGAAUGAUUAUCUCAUCCAUCAUUGUAAUUACCAUGCCCAAUGAAAUUCUCUCAGUUGCAAAAUUUUCGGCCCUUAUUGUUCAAUUUUGCUCAUGAAUUUGGAAAGAUCGUGUGUGUUUUCACUAAUAUGGACAACAUUUGAAAAAUGAAAGUCCAGAAAAAUAAAAUCCUCCCAAAAAAUGAUACAAUUGACCAAUAAAUAGUGGUGUCAACGAGAUGAAACGAGACGAGUCAGCUUGCGAACCCAAGCUUGGGGGUUCAACAUUGUCUCAUCACAAAAAAAGGCUCGAGCUUUUUGGGUUUGAUUCGAGCUUGGAAUUGGCUCGUCCCCAAAAAAAUGGGGCUUGCCAAUAAAGUUAUUGAUGAGUUCAAACCUUUAGAUGGAUUGAUUUGUAAAAGUUCAUUGGGUCUUAGCACUGUAUUCAUAUGGGCCACGGGCCGAAGCUUGCCCAAUAAAAGAAAUCUAUGGGCCUAACUGGGGCUGAAGUGUAGGUUCAACCACUAUAAUAGGGCCAAUCCUAUAUAAUUUAUUAAAAUGCUGUCUUUGUUAAAAAGAAAUUUCAACAGACUACUCGACAGAACUUGUACGUUAUAGGGCCUGUAGGCCAGACCUUGAAAAAGCAAUCACAUCCUAUUUGAAGAUCAAUAUUCUUAAAUUAGAGCGAAUGUUUCAUUAUUUAAAAAUCAAAUAUUUCAUAUUUAAAUAUCUAAAAUUAUAAUACAAAUUUAAUCACAAACCCUGAUUAAUUUCCCCUUUCAUUUUCUCUCUUUAUCCCUCACUUAUCUCUUCUCUCACGAAGACGUCACUGUCGUUGUCAAUGUGAAGAUGCCACCACCAUCGCUGUGACCGUUGCGAAGACGCUCACAAACCGUGCUCAAGGCACCAUCGCUGGUAAAGUCAUCCCUGUCAACAUUGAAUUUCGGGUUGCACAACGGCUCUUUUUGCUUAGAGCCAGUGCAAAGCAAAGCUGUGUAGCGACGACCAGUGCACAGAGAAGUUGAGAUAUAGAUCUCACCUUUAGCGGUCCAGAUCACGGUUGAAAUGUUGCAGAUCGUGGUAGUGGUGAUGAUUUUUGUUGUUGUUGGAAGGUGUUGGUGGUUUUCCACGUUUUCAUGGUGUUGAAGUUUUAGGGCGGGUUUUGUUGUUGUUGGUGGUCGGGUGACUGUGGCAAUGACGGUGAAGUGGAUCGCAGCUGCAGUAGUCGCAAAUUGCGGUGGUAGUGAUAUUUCUUUGGCUAUUAGAUGGGUGUUGGUGAUUUUUUGGUGGUGUUGGGGUUUUCAUAUGGUUUUUGUUGGUGAUAGUGCGGUGGCGAUGACAAGUCUUUGUUGCAUUUUAUAAGGUUUUACUACUACUUGAUUUGAAGUUCUCUUUGAAUUUGAGAAAUAGCACGUGUUUGUUACUAUUAUUACUGUAUAUUCUCUUCCCCCACCCCCCUCUUAUUUUCUUGGAUCUUUCUUAAUGCAGUAAAAGAAUAUAUUUUCGACCAAUUAUCUUUCUUUAGGUCCAAAUAUUUGUAUUUUGCCCCCUUCUUCUUUUUACGGAUUUCUUGCAUUUUCUUAUUGUGUUUUGUGUAAUAGUUAAAGGCAAGCCUUGUUUUUUAUGAAUAUUUUUUGCAGCUACUGUGAGAUUUUUUAAGCUCUGUUUAUCUCUUGCAUAAGUUUUGAUAUUCUUAUUUGUCCUUUCAACUUGUUGAUUGGGGGUGGGGGUGGUUCUAGGGAGGCGAUUUUGGUGGCGAUGCGUUGGUGAUAGUCAGGGGCGGAUCCAGAGAUUUCGGACUGUGGGGUCAAAAAUGAAGGCUUCGCCCUUCGCGGCUGUGCCGUUGUUGUUUGGGAAGAAAUUGUUAGAUAUUUUUCAUCAUUUUGCAUGUAUUUAUUUUUUUUUGUUUUGCGAAUGAUUUGUCGUCCCGACUAGUGUUUGUCGUUGUGCAACAGGGAUCGACCUGCCCGAUCAGGUCGCGGGAGUCGAGGGGGGCAACGCCCCUGAAAGAGAAUUUUAUUUUCAAAAGUCUUUGAAUAGGCGCAUCUGUUCGUUUUGACUGCUACUUCCAACAUAUGUGUUCUUCAUUUCAAGGGACAUACCUAUUCAAAUGGUUGCCUCAAUUUCUAUAAAUUCUGAGCGAAUUCUCGUUUGCAAAACACAUUAAAAAAUAUUCUUCUCUCUUUCUCUUGGCAUCAUCAGUUCUUUUUCGAGUGUCUUCUUGGUUUGAUCAAAUAGUCACAAUUUGAAUCAAACGUCUCCAUUGUAUCCUAAGAGAGAUUUUCUAUCAUACCCCAGUCGUGACUUUGUUGGAUAAGGAAGAAAUAUCUCUUAAAAGAUAACGUUUUUCGUAUCCUGGAGUUCUUUAAAUUUUCAGAUUUUCCUACAUUUUUCUCAUCAGAAAUCGGUGGGGAGACAAUGGAGUGGAGAGUGGAUUAUGGUCUUAGGCCUAUCAUCUAUGGACUAUGGAUUAAUGGAUAUGGAUAAUGGAUUGGAGUCAUUGGAUCAUAUGGAUAUGGAUGAUGGAUUCUCGGCAUUGGGCUAGCCAGCUAGGAAUUAAUUGGAACCCCCAAAUGUUCAUGAAUAACUGUUUUAAAAUAAAAUAAAAUAAAAAAACCAUGGGGUCAUUUGACCCCACAUGAUCCCAUGUGGGUCCGCCCCUGGUGAUAGUGGUGAGAUGGUCAUAAUAUUUGGUUUAUUGUGACCAUUAAAUUAGUUAAUCUGUGAUCAGUAAAUAAUAUAUGACUAAUGAUAAAGAUAAAUUAUGACAAAAAAUAAUGUGUAAUCUAAAAGAUUGUUAAUUUGUGAACUAAAAUUUGAUAAUUUGUGACUCAUAGUAUUUGUGAUUUGUGAUCAAUAAAUAAAUUGUAAUUUAUAAAAUUUUGAUUUGUGAUCGAUAAAUAAAUUAUGACCUAUAAAAUUUUUAAAUAGUGAUUAUAAAAUAAUUUGUGACAUGUAAAAAUUCUGAUUUGUGAAAUAUAUGACUAAUUAAAUCGUUAAUUUGUGACCAAUUGUAUGGAUUUGUGACUUUAAUAUAUUUAAUUAAUAAAAUAUAUAACUAAUUAAUUAAAUCAUAAGUAAAUUUUAAUUAAUAUCUUAUUAUUGAAAUUUAAAACUUUUAUUUAUAAUUUUGAAAUGAGUGAUAUUUAAUUUGUAUGUCUGAAUUUUUUGUCCUGGAAAAUUGGAUGACCCUGACUAGACCAUAUCAAUGGGCCGGACCAGUGGGGCCCAUUAACAUCCCUAAUUCACAGGGAUAAAACUGACAUUUCAAUAUCCAAGCAAAACGCAUAAGAAACCCUGGCUCCUAUCUAAUAUUAUACUUGUUGGGGCUUUGUCACUUCAUCAUAUUCCCCAGUCGUCCGGCGGCCGAGAACCUCAUCACAACCACGGCUCCGCUAUGGUCUCUAUCUCACUGCUGUCAUUCUCUCUCUACAUUUGCUUCGAACAUACAUAUAUGAAUCUCAGCGCAUCAGUGAUUCUCUGUCUGUGUUUAAAUGUGUGAAACAGGCGUCAGAGAAGAAGCUGUCGAACCCAAUGAGAGAGAUCAAAGUACAGAAGCUUGUCCUCAACAUCUCCGUUGGCGAGAGUGGAGAUCGUCUUACCAGAGCCGCUAAGGUAUAAUACCACCCCACCCCCCCCCAACCAAUUUUAUUUAUUGAAUAUUUGGAAUUUGAGCUCAAUUUGUUUUUAUUUUUCAUUUUUCAGGUUUUAGAACAACUCAGUAGCCAAUCUCCUGUUUUCUCUAAGGGUAAGUUUCUCAAAUUCUGAAUCUACAUUGUAGGGGCUUCUGAAAUGAAAUUCUAUUAUUUGUAGUAGCUUUACUGUCUGCGAAUGAUUUAUGUUAGUAAUUGAUAAUAUACUGCUUUGCUUUAUGACUUGAUGAUAGAUUAUGAGACUGAUAACUUUGCAAAUUUUCGAAUGGUAGUUUUUUUUUAAUUUAAAUAGUUUUUUUUUUUUUUUUUUUUUGUUUUUGUUUUUGUUUUUUUUUUUUUUGUUUUUUUGUUUUUUUUUUUUUUUUCGCUUUCCUUAUUUCUGAACUAACUUGAAUAGGAUCAUCUUUCUGUUUCUAAAUUUUAGAGAUAGGGUAAACGCAACAUUAAGGUUAGAGUUUGUGUUGUUUGGUAAAACUUUGUUUUCCAUUUAUGAUUAAGAUUUGAAAUUUGAAUUGAUUCUAUGAUUUUAAAUUUAUAACUACCGGCAUUAGAUAAUGACGGAAGUUUAGCCACAAUUAGCAAAUUACUUGAGUUCUUCCAAUAUUUGGCAAAUAUAUGUAAAUUUUGUAUCAUGUUUAUCAUUUGCCUAUGCACUGCCCAUAUAUGAACUUGUGAUGCUUCCUGGACAGACUGCAUUUGCCAAUCCAUUGUUCAUAUAUUUGCAGAUGAACUUGUGAUGCAUCCUUGACAAACACUGCAUUCACUGCAUUUGACAUUUUUAUCUUGUUUAAUAAUUCCACUUGGUUGUGGUUAUCAAGUCAUCUGUGUUGAUAAUUUGCUUAAAUAUGCAGAAUUUCCAUUUUAAUUUGAUAUAAUCUGAAGCGUAUAAUUAUUGGCUUUUACGACAACGAAAGUAGGGAUCCAAAGGUUGCUUUAACAGUAGAAUCGGGUUGCAUUUGAUUAUCUAAUGGAUUUGUGGAGAUGUUCUUCAUAACCUAGAGCCUUGAUUGUUUUCUGCCUGCUGCUUCCAAUUUUGUGGUCUAUAACUGAAGUCUAGAGCCCGGGAUAUUUCUUCUUUUAUGUCCAAUUGUUAGUCAAACCAUAUCCUUCCAUGGUGGUUGGAGAUUGGAAAACAAAUCUAUGACCUGCAACCCACUCUAGCAUGUAUUUAUCUGUUAUCUUAACACCAAAAUAUCCGCAUUGCAGUUAGCUGGAACAUCGCCCGAGUUGAUAAACCGGCUGAUACCUGAGCAUGUUCGACAGCAAGCUGGUGUGAACUUUCUCCAUCCAGCAGGGACGUGAUUACAUUGGUGCAACCUAAUUUGUUGGUGGACAUGUAGCAGCAGGAAGGCCCUCUCACUAAUAUUAUGCACAUUUUGGCCAGGAGCAGUGGUUUCUGACCACUCGAAAUGUUUCGUGGUGACUGCUGGGCUUAACGUGAAAGUCGGUGGAAUCUUUCGACAUUGUUGUGUUAGCUAAACAAAUUUAGAUGCUUUUGUACAUUGUUGUAGUCAAAUGUAAGAGUCCAACUGAUCAUAUUAUUCGUGUCUGGUCAGGAAGAUUUCUGAACGGAACCGCUGCAGGAGGGCUCAGCAUAGUUUUGUGACGUCACUUAAAUGACCAUCAUGUUUGUGCUAACAUGUUACCUUCUGAAAGCUAAUACAAAAUUUACUAAUAUUUUUUGGUUCUUUC